UAUGACGUAUUUAUAAUAACAAAGUAUCUCUGGUUAAUCACUAUCUUUAUCCCUCUUGGGAAUUUCUCUCUUUUUGAUUAACAAAUGUAAUUUUGUCACCUAAGAUUUUUUUGCCUUUUUAAGCACUGCUCAGCUAAAAUAAUUGCAAUAGCAUAACAUUUUCUCCUUUGAUAAAUCUGUUAAUUUCUAAACUUUUCUGAUAGCAAAAUGAUUGCAAACAUUUAUUUUUGUCAUCCCUGAUAUACAUAUAGGUUACUUUAAGUUGACAUGAAUUGGGUUGACAUGCAUUUUUCCUUGUUUUGACUUGCCUUUUAGAUUAUUAGACAAUCUUUCCUUCAGUGUAAAGUACUGCUUCAGGUUUUUCUUUCGCUGUAGUUUUUACGAAAAUAUAGGGUCAAUUAACAAAUGAAAGAUGGCAAUUAAAAAUGAUCUGAAAUAAAAACAAUUCAUAGAAGUAAUAUAGCCUGCAAGUUAUUGGAACUCCGGUAGAUCUAAUUAUAUUUUAAGGUCUUUCAGACACUGCUUCCACAUGAUCCUCUACCUUCCAAUUGCUCACCUAUGAAUUACUGCAAGUACAAACAAUUUGCAAAGCGUAUUGCUGCCUUUUUAAGCCCUAUUUUCCCGUUACAGCUACCUUGAACACUUGAAUUAUUUAUCAAUAAAGUAACUAUCUUUAUUCCAAUAUUGAGUAGUAUUUUAUACAUAUUUAGCAUCUAUUCUCUGCUGUUUGCCAUGUUUGAGAUGCCAGCUUUUCAUUUCUGGUGUUGGUUUGUAAAACUCAUGUUUACCUUUUGUGACUUUUGUAUAACCAAAGGAAAUAUAUUCUCGUAUCCCUGUUCUUGGUCUACUUGGGGCUGGAGCUUCUGAUUAUUGGCCAGGAAAUAUAUGAGUGAUGGAUAAUGAAUAGCAGAAUAUUGGGCAAGCUAAAAUUGAGGCUAUGAAGCCUUUGAAUAAUAAAGUGAACUUGACAGAUUGGAGAUUUUGUGUGAAGGAAUGUCGGCAUGUGAUUAAAAUGGGGGUGAAAAUUGGCAGUAAAAUCCUAAACAAUAGAUUUCUAUCGGCUACCUACCCUGUGUUUAUGUAUAUUAGUUCCUUAUUAGCCGUAUGCACAGUCCCUGCAUUUUGUCCGUUGUAUAUACCUGAAUUCUGAAAUUAUAUGUUUGCGUGUGAGCCAUCUCCUCCAUUCUUCCCCUUUCAGGUGUUUGUUCGCUCAACUAUGUUGUUUGUUUUUUGGGAAUCUACUUUAAUGGAAUUGGAGAUUGUGUCCAAUAAUCAGUAUAAAGUAAAACCCUGAAAAUCUGGUUUUCUCCGGCUUAGCAAUGUGGAUGGACUGAUUAGGAAGUUUGCAGUUGGUGUGAAAAUUGGUGAAGUUGGAGAUACAAAGGUUAUUUAAAGAUAGAGGGAUAUAGAUCAGCUGAGGUGUUGGGCAGAGCAGUGCCAGAUGGAAUUUAGCCCAGGUAAUUGGGGUGGUGAAAUUCUGUUGAGACAAAGUAAAUGACAGGGACCUUGGGAGCAAUGAUAUACAGAAGGACCUUGUAUAGGGUAGGAAAAAAACACACCUGGUAUGCUUCACUUAAUAGGUGGAGGUAUUGAAUAUAAGGGCUGGACGUAGAAGACUGAGGGGAAUAGGUAGAAUCUUUUUUUCCCAUGUUGAUCUACAACUCAAGGGCACAGGUUUAAGGUGAGAAAGAAAAUUUAAAGGAGAUCUGAGGGACAUCUUUUUCCACACAUAGGCUGCUGAAUAUCUAGAACAAGCUGCCAGACAUGGUGUUGGAAGCAGAUGCAAUUACGUUUAAAAAGAUCUUAGACAGGUACUUGGAUUGAAAAGUAAUAGAUACAGAUGCUAAUGCGAGUGAAUGGGAUCAGUGCUCAAAAGGCAUCACUGUUGGUAUAGUCAAAGAUGGGCCAAGAGAUUCCAUCUCUGCUACGUGUUUCUAUGAAAAUUGGUUCAACUUUUUACUGCUGUUUAAUUAGUCUCACUUGCCUUUGUAGUUUUCAAUUCACUGGCAAAUAAAGGUUCAGUGCAGUAUCAGCAAAGAAAAGGAUAUUUAUUUACAUUUUUGUGGAUAUUUAUGUACUUUUUUUGAAAUGCUGUACAACUUCAGCGAUUUUUGUUUGGAAAAAUGGUGUGGGAAAUAUUUAGGAAAAAGCGCUGACUUCUGGGUUUUUGUAUAAUUAAAUAUUAUUUCUCUU